rnacentral:rRNA from 1 species
UACGUAGGGUGCGAGCGUUGUCCGGAUUUAUUGGGCGUAAAGCGUCCGCAGGUGGCACCUCAAGUCUGCUGUCAAAGACCGGGGCUUAACCCCAGAAAGGCAGUGGAAACUGAAGUGCUAGAGUGCAGUAGGGGUAGAGGGAAUUCCCGGUGUAGCGGUGAAAUGCGUAGAGAUCGGGAAGAACAUCGGUGGCGAAAGCGCUCUGCUGGACUGCAACUGACACUCAGGGACGAAAGCUAGGGGAGCGAAUGGG